GGGGCUGACUUGGAUUUCGACAGAUUUCUUGUCGCACAGACAGCAUGCCAAGUGCUGCUUGUAAAACAGCAACAAAAAUAACUGUAAACAACACAGAUUACGCUCCAGCUUACGCUAAAGCUGCGUGAGUUAAUCUCCUUUUGGAGCUGGACUGAUUAGAAUUUCUAGCGUUUUAAUCACUCCAUAACCUUAAGCUAGACGCUUUUAAAGGGUGGUUCGCCUUUUAAACUAAGAAACAAGAACUCUUGAAACUACCUCAAGGUUUUAGAAAGUUGGACCAGAGCUAGUUUUAAGGCUAAAAAACCAACCAAUUUUCUAAGCAUUGUAGAAGUUUGUGUUUAGGGCAAGAUUUUUGGACUGGGGUUCGAUUCCCCACAGCUCCACCA
rnacentral:tmRNA from 1 species